rnacentral:rRNA from 1 species
UACGGGGGGGGUAAGCGUUGUUCGGAAUCACUGGGCUUAAAGGGCGCGUAGGCGGGCGCACAAGUCAGGGGUGAAAGCCCACGGCUCAACCGUGGAAGGGCCUUUGAUACUGUGUGUCUGGAGGGAGGUAGGGGCGUGCGGAACUUCCGGUGGAGCGGUGAAAUGCGUAGAUAUCGGAAGGAACACCGGUGGCGAAAGCGGCGCGCUGGACCUCUUCUGACGCUGAGGCGCGAAAGCCAGGGGAGCAAACGGG